UACGUAGGGGGGCAAGCGUUGUCCGGAAUUAUUGGGCGUAAAGGGUGCGUAGGCGGCGCGGUAAGUCAGGUGUGAAAUCUCGGAGCUUAACUCCGAAACUGCAUUCGAUACUGCCGUGCUUGAGGACUGGAGAGGAGACUGGAAUUUACGGUGUAGCGGUGAAAUGCGUAGAUAUCGUAAGGAAGACCAGUGGCGAAGGCGGGUCUCUGGACAGUUCCUGACGCUGAGGCACGAAGGUCAGGGGAGCAAACGGG
rnacentral:rRNA from 1 species